rnacentral:lncRNA from 1 species
GAUACGUCUUAGUUCAGGAAUCUCUGGAAUCGUCUCCAUUUGAUGUAAUUUUUAGAUAUAUGGAGAUCUGGAAUAAAAAGAUUCAAUUAUGAAAUUUAGUAGGAAUCAAUUGUAGAUUCUCAUAGACGGCGCCAAUGUUCAAUGGUGGAAUAAGAAUGAGAGAGGUAUGUCAUAAUAUGGAAGAUGAUGCUUGCAGCUCUGAUGUGGAGAAACGGGUGGACCUUCAAGGU